rnacentral:tRNA from 1 species
GCCUGGGUGGCUCAGUCGGUUAAGCGUCUGACUUCGGCUCAGGUCAUGAUCUCACGGUUUGUGAGUUCGAGUCCCGCGUCGGGCU